GAGAAAUUCCGUCGGAAUCCGCGGGGACCAUCCCGCAAGGCUAAAUACUCCCUAGUGACCGAUAGUGAACCAGUACCGUGAGGGAAAGGUGAAAAGCACCCCGGAAGGGGAGUGAAAUAGAUCCUGAAACCGUGUGCCUACAACAAGUCAAAGCUCGUUAAUGAGUGAUGGCGUGCCUUUUGUAGAAUGAACCGGCGAGUUACGAUUGCAUGCGAGGUUAAGUCGAAGAGACGGAGCCGCAGCGAAAGCGAGUCUGAAUAGGGCGAAUGAGUAUGUAGUCGUAGACCCGAAACCAUGUGAUCUACCCAUGUCCAGGUUGAAGGUGCGGUAAAACGCACUGGAGGACCGAACCCACGUACGUUGAAAAGUGCGGGGAUGAGGUGUGGGUAGCGGAGAAAUUCCAAACGAACUUGGAGAUAGCUGGUUCUCUCCGAAAUAGCUUUAGGGCUAGCCUCGGAAUUGAGAAUGAUGGAGGU
rnacentral:rRNA from 1 species